rnacentral:rRNA from 1 species
UACGGAGGUUGCAAGCGUUAUCCGGAUUUAUUGGGUUUAAAGGGUGCGUAGGCGGGAUGAUAAGUCAGUGGUGAAAACCUGCAGCUUAACUGUAGAACUGCCAUUGAUACUGUCGUUCUUGAGUAUAGUUGAGGUGGGCGGAAUGUGUAGUGUAGCGGUGAAAUGCUUAGAUAUUACACAGAACACCGAUUGCGUAGGCAGCUCACUAAACUAAAACUGACGCGGAGGAACGAAAGCGUGGGGAUCAAACAGG